AUAUCAGUCAUGCAUAGCAUAUCAAUAAGCGGAGGAAAAGAAACUAACAAGGAUUCCCCUAGUAACUGCGAGUGAAGCGGGAAGAGCUCAAAUUUGAAAUCUUAAAAGGUUUUCCUUUUACGAAUUGUAGUUUAAAGAAGUGUUUUCUGUUGAAAUUUUAGUAAAAGUUCUUUGGAAUAGGACAUCAUAGAGGGUGAGAAUCCCGUAUUUGACUAGAAUUUUUUAACUUUGUGAUACACUUUCAAAGAGUCGGAUUGUUUGGGAAUGCAGUCCAAAAUGGGUGGUAAAUUUCAUCUAAAGCUAAAUAUUGGCGAGAGACCGAUAGCGAACAAGUACCGUGAGGGAAAGAUGAAAAGAACUUUGAAAAGAGAGUUAAAUAGUACGUGAAAUUGUCAAAAGGGAAGCGUUUGGCACCAGUGUUGUUUUUCUAAAAAUCAAUUUAAAAUUUAGCUUAUGUUAAGUAUUUUAGACUUUAAUCAGGCUAAUAUAUUUAGUUUUUUGUAAUUUUUGAAUGCACUUUUUAGGUUAAACAAGUCAACAUCAAUUUCUUUUGUUGUAAAAGAAUAAGAGGAAGGUGGCUUGGAUUUAGUUUCAAGUGUUUAUAGCCUUUUAUUUAUGCAAUAGGAGGGAUUGAGGUCUGCAGCAUAGAUCCUUCGGGGCUAGAUGCAUUUGUCGCUAAGAGUCCAGUAUUAUAUAAACAACUUGUUGAUUAUAGUAGUAUGUUGAUUUCUACUCGCAGAUGUUAUUUUACCUACGCUUAGGAUGUUGACGCAUGAGAUAUACGC
rnacentral:rRNA from 1 species